rnacentral:rRNA from 1 species
UACGUAGGCAGCGAGCGUUGUUCGGAGUUACUGGGCGUAAAGGGUGUGUAGGCGGUUGUUUAAGUUUGGUGUGAAAUCUCCCGGCUCAACUGGGAGGGUGCGCCGAAUACUGAAUGACUAGAGUGCGGGAGAGGAAAGUGGAAUUCCUGGUGUAGCGGUGAAAUGCGUAGAUAUCAGGAGGAACAUCGGUGGUGUAGACGGCUUUCUGGACCGUAACUGACGCUGAGACACGAAAGCGUGGGUAGCAAACAGG